GUCCUAGCCCUAAAACGAUGAGCACUUGGUGUGGCCCUUUACGGGGCCGUGCCGGAGCUAACGCGUUAAGUGCUCCGCCUGGGGAGUACGGGUCGCAAGGCUGAAACUCAAAGGAAUUGACGGGGCCCGCACAAGCGGUGGAGCAUGUGGUUCAAUUUCGACGCAACGCGAAGAACCUUACCUGGGCUCGAAAUGCAGUUGACAGUCUCAGAGAUGAGGCUUUCCCGCAAGGGACGGCUGUAUAGGUGCUGCAUGGCUGUCGU
rnacentral:rRNA from 1 species